rnacentral:lncRNA from 1 species
GACAACCCAAACGAAAAGACGCUACAAAAGUUGGGAGCAACUUAUCGAAACAGUGGUAGGCUUUCAUUUGGCAGAAUGCAUAUCUGCUUCGUAACAUCCGAAAGAAACCCACGAAAGUUUAGAAAAACAGCGUCAAAAGUGUUCAAGAAGCACAAUUCAGAAAGCACUAUGCAUAUAAUUUCAUGUGGAUGACUAAAAGCAAUUGCUGUGGAUCUUAACAACGAGCUCCCAUGUACCCAACUCCCUUCCAUCAGUGAAUCCCCUGGCAGCCUUUCUUAGCGGGUAAGUUCAGAAAGGAAAAGUACCUUGCUCGCUUUAAAGUUGUUCGCUUAGGAAAUCCAAUCCCUAUUUUAUGUUUCCUUCACGCUUCAAUUUAUUUUUCUAUCAAUAGUCAAUUAUAAUUAGAAACUCUACGGUGUGAGUUUGGCAUAGCAUACUGGCACCAAGUUGGAAAAAGGAGGAGAACUAUUGUAGUUGGUUGAUGUCUAGCAUAAUAUGGAGUGAUGCUAUUAUACCAUAGUCAGUGGCGGAUGCAGAAUUUGUACUAAAGGGGUUAAAAAAAUAAGUUAAAAAAUUUAAAAAUAUUGGGGCCAAUGGGAAUUGAACUAGUGAUUCCACAAAGUUUUUGAACCCCCUUAGACUACUAAACUAUGCUUUUGGAUUAUGUCAAGGGAAUUCAAAACAUAAUAUAUAGAGGUAAAAAAUAUAUUUUGUCUUAUAUAUACAGUGUAGUUUUUCGGCGAAGGGGGUUCGGGUGAAUCCCCUUCCGCCCCUGGCCAUAGUAUGCAGAUUGAUUUAUCAAUAGUCAGUUAAACCAUAUAUUCUUUGAUCCUGAUCAUAGAGAUUAGAGAGCUGAACAUCUAGAGGAAAAUUUUAAACUAAUAAAGGAAGAAAAAUAUCCUUCUGCUAAUAGAUUACAAGGAGUAGGGAAGGCUCAAAUUGGAAGCAAUGAUGGCCGCUGAUAUUCAAACUUGCGCGCUGCAGUUAAAAAUUGUGGCCUCUUGAUUGCCAUCUAUUCCAAUUAGUGAUUAAUAUAGGAAAGAUUCUUUUUUUAUUCCUAUUGUACUGCAGGAAAAAAUUGAUUGCAACCGAACAAGCACCAUGCCAAUGUUUUCUCUCUAACUUAUUAAUAGAGUACCACAGAUCUCCUUUUUACUAUGGAUUUUAUAUUGUGACACAAACUAACAUGUACGAAUAUUAAGAAGAUUUGCAAAGAGAUGACAGUUUAUACUUGGCAGUACAAGAAUGGAAACAGAAACACCAAUCAUACACCAAAUUUGGAAUUAAUGAUCCACGACUACGGAUCUCUCUUUGUCUCUUGCAAUUUAUUGUAGGACUUCUUGCAGAUUUUUUGAAAAAAUACAGAGUGAGCAUCAAGUCUUUUGUAGCCAUUUCCUGAGGUAGACAUAAAACGUCCCCAUUAGCCGGCACAACAUCAUGCGUUUUGGCAUCAAAAAGUUUAGCAGGAAGAUAUCGACUUCAGGGUGUUGAUUGAAGAAGAAAGUGGCAAAAUCCAUCCAUCUUUUUUUACUUUACUCAUUAUUUAAUUAUUGUGCUUUGUGAUUUUUAAAAUCUUAUUUCUACAAAUGUUAAGAUAGAUGUUACACAUGAAAAUUACACUUCAAAUAUUUAAAGCGUGUAUGUGCUUGGCUUAGGAUUAAAAAUUCAUAGUAAACUUAAUGUCUAAUAUUAUUUCGAAGAACUAGAAAUGCAGGCAAGGUUAAUGAAAAUUACAAACAACUUAUUUAUUUUGCGCAUGUUUUGAUGGCACUAAAGUUUUCUCAAUCCAGAUGGACUUGCACUGAUAUGUGUUUAAGGAAACAAAUAGUUUUCUCUGACUGUAUACGGUCGAAACCGGGCUCAUCUAUUACAUGACGGAUCAGAACCGAAAUGUGAUGGAUUGAAGAUCGACCCCAGGUUCCAUCGAACCAAAGAACGAAGUCAGAACAUACGUCUCCAAGAUCUUCGAGCCUGUGACUCCGGAAUCGAUCUUGAUUCCGAACAAGUUCGAGAAAACAUUAUCGGACCCAAUAACGGAAGGCUGAAGUAUCCGCAACUGGUCGGACGUCACGGCGGGAAUCUCGGCAUGUAUCAACAAGAGACCCACUAAUUAGCAAAUCAUAAGAUUUCUUACUUUUUAUAGAAUUGUACCUAAAGCAGGACUCCUCUACUAUAUUAAGGGGGUCUGAUUCUUUGUAAUAGACAUGGUAACACGCAUCCUAAAAGCAUUAUAAUAUUAUUUUCUUU